rnacentral:tRNA from 1 species
GGUAGAAUGGCUGAGUUAAGUGAUAAAUUGUAAAUUUAUUUAGGGGAAUUUAUUCUCUUCUAUCA